UCCGGUUUGUCACCGGUAGUCUCCGAUGAGUCCCCAACUGAAUGCUGGCAACAUCGGACGGGGGUUGCGCUCGUUGCGGGACUUAACCCAACAUCUCACGACACGAGCUGACGACAGCCAUGCAGCACCUAUGCAGCGGCCCGAAGGCGACAACAUCUCUGCUGUCUUCCACUGCAUUUCGAGCCCAGGUAAGGUUUUUCGCGUUGCAUCGAAUUAAACCACAUGCUCCACCGCUUGUGCGGGCCCCCGUCAAUUUCUUUGAGUUUUAACCUUGCGGCCGUACUCCCCAGGCGGGGUACUUAUCGCGUUAGCUUCGGCACUGAAGGGGUCAAUACCUCCAACACCAAGUACCCAUCGUUUACGGCGUGGACUAC
rnacentral:misc_RNA from 1 species